rnacentral:tRNA from 1 species
AUUCUUAAAGUAAUUUUACAUUUUAACUUCGAAUUAAAUUUUUGAUUUAAUUUUUUAAACUAAAUCUAAGAAUA